rnacentral:rRNA from 1 species
AAUUCGAUUAGAGUUUGAUCCUGGCUCAGGACGAAUCUGCUGGCGGCGUGCCUAACACAUGCAAGUCGAGCGGAGAUAUUAGUAAUAAUAUCUUAGCGGCGGACGGGUGAGUAACGCGUGGGCAACCUGCCUCACACUGGGGGAUAACACAGGGAAACUUGUGCUAAUACCGCAUAACAUCAUGAAAGGACAUCCUUUUAUGAUCAAAGGAGCAAUCCGGUGAGAGAUGGGCCCGCGUCCAAUUAGCUAGUUGGUGAUGUAACGGACCACCAAGGCGACGAUUGGUAGCCGAACUGAGAGGUUGAUCGGCCACAUUGGGACUGAGAUACGGCCCAGACUCCUACGGGAGGCAGCAGUGGGGAAUAUUGCGCAAUGGGGGAAACCCUGACGCAGCAACGCCGCGUGAAGGAUGAAGGUUUUCGGAUCGUAAACUUCUUUGAUGGGGGACGAAACAAAUGACGGUACCCCAAAAACAAGCCACGGCUAACUACGUGCCAGCAGCCGCGGUAAUACGUAGGUGGCGAGCGUUGUCCGGAAUUACUGGGUGUAAAGGGCGUGUAGGCGGGAAUGCAAGUCAGAUGUGAAAUGCCGAGGCUUAACCUCGGAGCUGCCGUCAAUUCCUUUGAGUUUGGCCUGGGGGCGGAAAUCGGCAUCAGCACCGACAAGUUCCAUGCACGCGGGCCGGUGGGCAUUGAGGGGCUGACUUCGCUCAAGUACGUGGUGCUGGGCGAGGGCGAAGUGCGCGGCUGAGCCAGGAUCAAACUCUAAUCAC